AGAGGCGCAGGAGCCCAGCUGAAGCCAAGUCCUCUGAAGGUCUGCAAGUGGAAAGCUGCUGGCAGAGGGCUGGCUGGGAGCACUUCAUUAUGGGACCUUCCGGCAACCUGAGGCCUGAGACUUACACAAACAACUGACUUGGACAUUGAUCACUGAGCAAACAUCAGAAGACUUUGGCCUCAGAGUAAUGAGGCCACCUGGAUUUAGAGCAGCGAUGGGCUUCCUGAGGAGAUCAUCUCUUAGAUUCCAGACCCUUGUGGAGAGAACCCAUCAAUGCUCCAGAAUCCUCUACCCUGGACCAAGGCCUGCAAGCCAAAGCCUCCUUCAACACUAUAACUGAAUUCACUGCAGAACAUCUUCUCCUGUGGCCUGCCCUAUGUUAUGUGGGCUGUUUUCUGCACGUUCCCACCUCUGCCAGCCUGCCUGCUCCCAACUGCAGAGCCUCCUCUCAGCUAUACUUCAGGUGAUGCUCGUUCACCAGUGCCGAUGCUGCCAUCAGCUGCUGGAAACCCAACCACUGACCUGCGACAUGCUGGACUCAGGUUGUUGUAGCUUGUCCCUUACAGGAGGUGCUGGCUUAUUGUCUUCACGUGUCCUAAGGAAAACCAGGAACAGUUCCUACCACGGCAGCAGUGUAAAGCUCAUGGAAAUGGAUCAGAAGCUGGCCUGAGAUCCUGUUAUGACAGUGUGGCAUCUAUCACAGAGUCCUUCCAGGACUGACAGGCAGCUGGCCCAUCACAAGUGGUGCUGGCAGGCCCCAGGAUGUGUGCAAUGUGCAUGUGUUGCAAAGACACUGCUGGAGGCCUGCAGCAGUUGCACCCCUUCUGUGUGGACUGGGCUAUGUGGGGUGCAGCCUCUAUGCUCUGAAAGGUUUUUCCUCACUGGAAAUCACUUACAGAUGUGCUUAGUGGAGAUGCUGGUGUUCUCCAGAAGCUAAGUGUCCCAUGGGGACAUGGGCAGGCUGCAUUUUACUCUUUUCCCUGUGCCUUUUCCCUACAGGUACAUAACCAACUACUACAGGAAAAGGAUUUGGCAAGGGUCUCUUUCUGCUCUGAAUCCUCUGGGAGGAAGGAUGGGUUGUUUAUGAUCUGCAGUGCCAGGAUUUGCUCCUGUCACUGCCCAGACACUUAAACCACUUGAGUGUAAGCACCUCCACACUGCCCUUUGAGGAGCUCUCCUGAGAAUCAUGAGGAGUAGGUGUGCAGUGCUGGCUUUUGCUCUGGUUUUCAGUUUCCACCUUUCCUUUUCCUCCUUUUUUUUCACUUUGAACAGUCUGGUCUGUACAGUGAGCUUGGGUUUGGUGAGGCUUUAUUACAGCCAUAUGCCCAGAGAUGCUGCUAUUAAGUGCAUUUUAUAAAUUAAUAAAUAAAAAUGCUCAUUUGUU